UACGUAGGGCGCAAGCGUUGUCCGGAAUUACUGGGCGUAAAGGGUCUGUAGGUGGCCAACUAAGUCAGACGUGAAAUCCCUCAGCUUAACUGGGGAACUGCGUCUGAUACUGGUUGGCUUGAGUGCAGGAGAGGAAUGCGGAAUUCCAGGUGUAGCGGUGAAAUGCGUAGAUAUCUGGAGGAACACCGGUGGCGAAGGCGGCAUUCUGGACUGCAACUGACACUGAAAGACGAAAGCCAGGGGAGCAAACGGG
rnacentral:rRNA from 1 species